rnacentral:rRNA from 1 species
UACAGAGGUCUCAAGCGUUGUUCGGAUUCAUUGGGCGUAAAGGGUGCGUAGGCGGCGCGGUAAGUCGGGUGUGAAAUCUUGGAGCUUAACUCCGAAACUGCAUUCGAUACUGCCGUGCUUGAGGACUGGAGAGGAGACUGGAAUUUACGGUGUAGCGGUGAAAUGCGUAGAUAUCGUAAGGGAAGACCAGUGGCGAGGGCGGGUCUCUGGA